AGCGAACGCUGGCGGCAGGCCUAACACAUGCAAGUCGAACGAACUCUUCGGAGUUAGAGGCGGACGGGUGAGUAACACGUGGGAACGUGCCUUUAGGUUCGGAAUAACUCAGGGAAACUUGUGCUAAUACCGAAUGUGCCCUUCGGGGGAAAGAUUUAUCGCCUUUAGAGCGGCCCGCGUCUGAUUAGCUAGUUGGUGAGGUAAUGGCUCACCAAGGCGACGAUCAGUAGCUGGUCUGAGAGGAUGAUCAGCCACAUUGGGACUGAGACACGGCCCAAACUCCUACGGGAGGCAGCAGUGGGGAAUCUUGCGCAAUGGGCGAAAGCUUGACGCAGCCAUGCCGCGUGAAUGAUGAAGGUCUUAGGAUUGUAAAAUUCUUUCACCGGGGACGAUAAUGACGGUACCCGGAGAAGAAGCCCCGGCUAACUUCGUGCCAGCCGCCGCAGUAA
rnacentral:rRNA from 1 species